AUUCUACUCCCUCCGUUGCACAAUAAUGCCUUCUAUUUGUCAAAAUAUAUAUGUAUCUAGACAUGUUUUAGUAUAUAGGUACAUCCAUUUUUGGACAAAUGGAAGUCAAGUAUUUUGGAACGGAGGGAGUACACA
rfam:Triticum aestivum genome assembly, contig: Triticum_aestivum_CS42_TGACv1_scaffold_509286_6BL